rnacentral:rRNA from 1 species
GACGAACGCUGGCGGCGUGCUUAACACAUGCAAGUCGAGCGGAAAGGCCACUUCGGUGGUACUCGAGCGGCGAACGGGUGAGUAACACGUGAGUAAUCUGCCCUUCACUUGGGGAUAACCACCGGAAACGGUGGCUAAUACCCGAUACGACACGUCUCUGCAUGGAGUGCGUGUGGAAAGUUUUUUCGGUGGAGGAUGUGCUCGCGGCCUAUCAGCUUGUUGGUGGGGUAAUGGCCUACCAAGGCUUCGACGGGUAGCCGGCCUGAGAGGGUGACCGGCCACACUGGGACUGAGACACGGCCCAGACUCCUACGGGAGGCAGCAGUGGGGAAUAUUGGACAAUGGGCGGAAGCCUGAUCCAGCAACGCCGCGUGAGGGAUGACGGCCUUCGGGUUGUAAACCUCUUUCAGUACCGACGAAGCGAGAGUGACGGUAGGUACAGAAGAAGCACCGGCCAACUACGUGCCAGCAGCCGCGGUAAUACGUAGGGUGCGAGCGUUGUCCGGAAUUAUUGGGCGUAAAGGGCUCGUAGGCGGUUUGUCGCGUCGGGAGUGAAAACCAUGGGCUUAACUCAUGGCUUGCUUCCGAUACGGGCAGACUAGAGGUAUGCAGGGGAGAACGGAAUUCCUGGUGUAGCGGUGAAAUGCGCAGAUAUCAGGAGGAACACCGGUGGCGAAGGCGGUUCUCUGGGCAUUACCUGACGCUGAGGAGCGAAAGUGUGGGGAGCGAACAGGAUUAGAUACCCUGGUAGUCCACACCGUAAACGUUGGGCGCUAGGGUGUGGGGUCCAUUCCACGGAUUCCGUGCCGCAGCUAACGCAUUAAGCGCCCGCCCUGGGGGAGUACGGCCGCAAGGCUA